UAGUACCCUCUAGCCUCCCUAUCUGGGCACUGAUAUACACACCUUUCCUGAUGAUUACAGUAUUAAUAUAACAUUGAAUGUUUAAUGCUCUACAUGCCCUUUGUGGAUGCAGUGCACUCAAGUGUGAAGACCUUAUAAGAUAAGUUCAUGUGGCUUGCUAUUUUCCAUUUUUACAUUUAUGCUAUGAUUUAAUUCCAUAUAAUUUUUCUUUUUUUUCCCAGACUGACAUUGAAGAAAAGAUUUUCUUUACCGUAUAGUGCAUCCAUGUAUCUCCUAUUUGGUUUCCAUCUAGGCAUAUUUCCUGACCAUUCUAAACUCAGCAAAGAAGGCCAACAGUCUCUACAGUGCACAAGUUAAAAGACCUUUCCAUCAUCGCCCCUCUGAUGACCCACAAAACCAUCGCAUCAACCAUCUGUAUGCCACAGCUCUCAAGU